rnacentral:rRNA from 1 species
UACGUAGGGUGCGAGCGUUAAUCGGAAUUACUGGGCGUAAAGCGUGCGCAGGCGGUUUUGUAAGCCAGAUGUGAAAUCCCCGGGCUUAACCUGGGAACUGCGUUUGAAACUGGGAGACUUGAGUGUGGCAGAGGGGGGUGGAAUUCCACGUGUAGCAGUGAAAUGCGUAGAUAUGUGGAGGAACACCAAUGGCGAAGGCAGCCCCCUGGGUCAACACUGACGCUCAUGCACGAAAGCGUGGGGAGCAAACAGG